rnacentral:rRNA from 1 species
UACGGAGGGUGCAAGCGUUAUCCGGAUUCACUGGGUUUAAAGGGUGCGUAGGCGGGUUGGUAAGUCAGUGGUGAAAUCUCCGAGCUUAACUCGGAAACUGCCGUUGAUACUAUCUGUCUUGAAUACCGUGGAGGUGAGCGGAAUAUGUCAUGUAGCGGUGAAAUGCUUAGAUAUGACAUAGAACACCAAUUGCGAAGGCAGCUCACUACACGAGCAUUGACUCUGAGGCACGAAAGCGUGGGGAUCAAACAGG